AUGGAUUUAGUAGACCUUUCAUUCAGUUCAGCGACUGAUGACACUAAUUCAAUUUGGUCUCUAAAUAACAACGAUAACAAAAAUGACAAAGAAAUUGAAGAAAAGGAUCGGAUUAUCGAAAAAUUAAUGGCUCACAUACAAGAAAUUGAAGUUCAGAUGAAAGACAUUAGA